GGCCAAUUCGUCUAACGGCAAGGACUCCAGGUGUAUCCUGGUAAUGUGUGGUUCGAGUCCCGCAUUGGCUA
rnacentral:tRNA from 1 species